rnacentral:lncRNA from 1 species
GUUCUCCUUAUGUAACUUGUUUUUCAUGACCUUCAAAGAUCACUCGAUCUCAAAAUUUGAAGCAUCCUGCACGUACACAUGCAAUAUCAUAUUAAGAUAAUUUUAAAAUAUAUGUUUUCGUUGAACUGUCGAUAUGAACAUGCAAAAACAGUUUGGCCAAACCAUUUUUCUAGAAAUCAUUGAGUCUUGCAUACUCGGCAUGUUGCAUCUUGAUCUAUAUUCCAUUCCCCACUGCAUCUUUACAGUUUACUAUGUACUGAAAAGUUCACAGAAAUACAAUAUAUGCACGCCAGCAGAUGGGAAAUAAACAAGAUGGCAACAAUCUUAUGGGACUAUAAUUAUCCCAUGGGAAUUUUAAUCUCCCAUGGGAC